AUUUUACAAUAAAUGUGACAAAUUAUUAUAAAUGUUGACAUUUUGAGGAGGUGAGGUAUAAAACCAUAAUAGGAAGGGCAGUGUGGAGGAUAGGAAGCCAGUGACAGGGUGACAAAGUAGCAGAAAUUUAAAUUGAGGGUGAAGGGGAGAAUGGGCGCGCUAAUUAAGUUGAAAGAGUAAUGAUGGUUACUGUGGGAGUCCAUAGACUAUUCUGAAAAGGUGGUUUUAGGAAGGAGUCUGAUGUGGGGGGGCAGGCUAGUGAGGCAAUGGCUCGCUGCAAAUCUUGUUAGCUAUGAGAGUGAGACCUGGGUAAAUCUUAUGAAUGCUGCUACAGUGAGACACAGAUAGGAUGAGUCACUCUGUGUUUGGAGGACUGAUUGUAGUGUACUUUGAAUGCAUGAUCAUCGGUGCUCACUCUACUCUUGGUGUGAAGUUUAUUGGAAUUUUCACCCAAACACGAGAGUCAGUGAAGGGCUCAGUGUGUGGGCAGGACUGACUGGUUACCCUACCAGAAAGGCUGUAAUAUUGAUACUCAAGUGCACUGACAUUUCAUGACACAUUUCUGAGCAGACACUAAUUUUAUCACAGACAUGCCCAUCCGUCUGUCCAUGCCUGAUGCUAAAUGUUGCUAGCCAUCCCCUGCUACCUAAAG